rnacentral:rRNA from 1 species
UACAGAGACUGCAAGCGUUAUUCGGAUUCACUGGGCGUAAAGGGUGCGUAGGUGGCGCCGUAAGUCGGGUGUGAAAUUUCGGAGCUUAACUCCGAAACUGCAUUCGAUACUGCCGUGCUUGAGGACUGGAGAGGAGACUGGAAUUUACGGUGUAGCAGUGAAAUGCGUAGAGAUCGUAAGGAAGACCAGUGGCGAAGGCGGGUCUCUGGACAGUUCCUGACACUGAGGCACGAAGGCCAGGGGAGCAAACGGG